rnacentral:rRNA from 1 species
GAGUUUGAUCCUGGCUCAGGAUGAACGCUAGCGGCAGGCUUAACACAUGCAAGUCGAACGGUAACAGAAAAAGCUUGCUUUUUGCUGACGAGUGGCGAACGGGUGCGUAACGCGUAUGCAACCUACCUUCUUCUAAGGAAUAGCCCAGAGAAAUUUGGAUUAAUACCUUAUGAUAAUAUUUAUUCGCAUGUUUAAAUAUUUAAAACUCCGGUGGAAGAAGAUGGGCAUGCGUAACAUUAGUUUGUUGGUGAGGUAAUGGCUCACCAAGACUACGAUGUUUAGGGGGUCUGAGAGGAUGAUCCCCCACACUGGUACUGAGACACGGACCAGACUCCUACGGGAGGCAGCAGUGAGGAAUAUUGGUCAAUGGACGAAAGUCUGAACCAGCCAUGCCGCGUGAAGGAUGACGGCCCUACGGGUUGUAAACUUCUUUUGUAUAGGAAGAAACCCCUCUACGUGUAGAGGGUUGACGGUACUAUUCGAAUAAGCACCGGCUAACUCCGUGCCAGCAGCCGCGGUAAUACGGAAGGUGCGAGCGUUAUCCGGAAUUAUUGGGUUUAAAGGGUGCGUAGGCGGAAAUUUAAGUCAGUGGUGAAAGCCUGCAGCUUAACUGUAGAAUUGCCAUUGAUACUGGAUUUCUUGAAUCUAAUAGAAGUAGGCGGAAUAUGACAUGUAGCGGUGAAAUGCUUAGAUAUGUCAUAGAACACCGAUAGCGAAGGCAGCUUACUAUGUUAGUAUUGACGCUAAUGCACGAAAGCGUGGGGAGCGAACAGGAUUAGAUACCCUGGUAGUCCACGCCGUAAACGAUGAUUACUCGCUAUUGGCGAUACACUGUCAGUGGCUAAGCGAAAGUGAUAAGUAAUCCACCUGGGGAGUACGAUCGCAAGGUUGAAACUCAAAGGAAUUGACGGGGGCCCGCACAAGCGGUGGAGCAUGUGGUUAAUUCGAUGAUACGCGAG